UCCACCCGCCUCAGCUUCCCAAAGUGCUGGGAUUACAGGUGUGAGCCACCGCACCUGGCUGGAAUCUACAUUUUUAACAGUCUUCACAGGUGACUGGAGUUCCUGCUGAAAUUUGAGAACCUCUGCUCUUAACCUUUCUUCUUUGCCUCUAAAAGCCAUGCCUGUGACCUUGAGCCUUGUCUUACCUUUCUAACUCUCUUGUGUUGAGGGCAAUGGUGACAAGAGCCUCUGGACUUUGAACGCUUACAAAUAAACAGUGGGAGGCAUGUGGGAAGCCCUAGAAGGUCUGGAUGGCCAAGGGAGCCUAAUUUCAGAUGGACUAUUGUGAAAAUUGCAUAUUCAUUCAUUCAGUCAGCAUGCAUUUAUUGAGCAUCUACUAUGUGUAUCAGGAAGGACCAGGAGCUAGAGAAAAAGGUAAAUAGGGAUGACAGAGUCCACAGAAACCCACAAUCUGGCAGGCUCUGGGUUGUAUAACUCAAUGAGAAAGUGAAGAAGGUGAAGGCCUUACUUCACCACAGGCGGCAGGUGGGUGCGGGGAGAGAGUACCCCAUCGCCAAGGUCUUUGUCUGAACUCACUCCCUGCCCAGGGCAGGCAAGAAUCUCCUUUCCAGAAGUAAGGCUGUGCUGACCAAAGUUGGCUGAGCUGUUCUGUAACAGCUGCAAAGCCCAUGGUGUGAGGGGCUUUCUGUUUCAUUGCAGCUUCAUUGUGGGGAUCUAUGGGGAAAUUUAUUAUGAGGUUUAGCAGACAUUGCUCAGGCCACCCCAGACUUGCCUCUCAGUUUGGGCAAUCUAUUCAACCAAACUGCCGGGCAAACAAUUGCACAUUAUAAUUAGGAGAGACCUUAGGGGAGGUCUUCUAUGAGGGGUUCAUGAACCUUUGAACACUUUGCUACUCAACGUGUGGUCACUGGACCAGCAGCACCAGCAUUCUCCGGGAACCUGUUACAAAUGCAGAAUCUGAGCCCCCACCCCCGGCCCGCUGCACCAGAAUCUGCAAUUCAAAAAGAGACCACGAUCCCCAGGUGAUACAUGUGUACAUUAAGGUUUGAGACCCACUGGUUUAUUGAAUCCAUUGGGCAAAAUGUUUUGCAUUGUCUAUGAGGGAUCCCGGAGUUCUCAUGUGAUUUUCACAUUGACCUGUGACUACAAAAUUUAAUCGCUGCUUUGGAGAUUUGUGAAGUCCAGGGCAGUGUUGAUAAAAGGUUUUGCUUCCCUGAUCAAUCCCUGUGAGUUAUUUGGAGCUAGAGAUUUCUUCUAGGGUUAUACAUUAUGCAAGUAUGGAAGACGGUGAAGAAGUCUAUGGAAGGCUGUUGUCUCCAAACCUGGUGGUUGGCCUGAACUCACCAUAGAUCAGCAGGGCUGAGAGUCCGGGAGACAGGAAGUAGGGGAGAAUAAGGAAAACCUGGAAUGCACAAGGGACAAGAAGAACCCAGAUCUGUCACAGGUGACCUGCAGAAGGAAGCUACCAGGAGGCUGCUCUGCUCGCGCACCUGGCCCAGGACUCAUUGGAGCUGGAAGAGCUGCAGGCCUGGCCCGUAAUCAGCAACACCGAGCAGGUGCUUCAACAUCGCCCAGCCCUUCUGAGCCUACUGGAUGUGGCUUCACUUCUGCCUUCCAGUUCACUAUAGGUUUCUUUUGUGGCCAACCUUGGCCUGGAAACAUACAGCAGAAAGAAUCCUGGGAAACACAGUUCCAGCUUAGAUAUUGUUGCUGCAGUACAAGUUCUCAAACUCAACCUUCUCCUGGGCUAGGUAGUGCUUCUCGAACGUCAAUAUGCAGAGAAAUCACCUGACAGUCUUAUAAAAAUGCCAGAUUGAACUCAGCAGUUCUGGAUGAGGCCUGGGAUUGAGAACGUCUUGCAUGGUCCCAGGAGGUGAGGAACACUGUCUUCAGGAGCUAACAGUCCCGCUGGGUCAGGGAGCUUCCACGAGAUGACUAGAGCUGCACAUUAGGAUUACCUGGAGAGAUUUAAAACUAUCCCAUUGCUGGGCUGCGCCAGAGACCACUGACAUCAGAACACAGAUGGGUGAAGCCCAAGCCUCAGGAUGUUUAAAGUCCCUCAAGUGAUUCCAGAGUGCAGC
rnacentral:lncRNA from 1 species